rnacentral:rRNA from 1 species
GUCAUAUGCUUGUCUCAAAGAUUAAGCCAUGCAUGUCUCAGUACAAGCCAAAUUAAGGUGAAACCGCGAAAGGCUCAUUAAAUCAGUUAUGGUUCCUUAGAUCGUACCCACAAUUACUUGGAUAACUGUGGUAAUUCUAGAGCUAAUACAUGCAAACAGAACUCCGACCGGAGACGGAAGGAGUGCUUUUAUUAGAUCAAAACCUAUCGGUAGCGGGUUCGCCCGUUAUUGUACGAUCUGUUGACUCUGAAUAACUUUACGCUGAUCGCACGGUCAUCGCACCGGCGACGCAUCUUUCAAAUGUCUGCCUUAUCAACUGUCGAUGGUAGGUUCUGCGCCUACCAUGGUUGUAACGGGUAACGGGGAAUUAGGGUUCGAUUCCGGAGAGGGAGCCUGAGAAACGGCUACCACAUCCAAGGAAGGCAGCAGGCGCGCAAAUUACCCACUCCCGGCACGGGGAGGUAGUGACGAAAAAUAACGAUACGGGACUCAUCCGAGGCCCCGUAAUCGGAAUGAGUACACUCUAAACCCUUUAACGAGGAUCAAUUGGAGGGCAAGUCUGGUGCCAGCAGCCGCGGUAAUUCCAGCUCCAAUAGCGUAUAUUAAAGUUGUUGCGGUUAAAAAGCUCGUAGUCGAAUUUGUGUCUCGCGCCGCCGGUUCAUCGUCCGCGGUGUUAACUGGCGAGUCGCGAGACGUCCUGCCGGUGGGCUUAGCUCGCGAGGGCGGCCCAACUCAAUCCUGCCGCGGUGCUCUUCAUUGAGUGUCGAGGUGGGCCGGCACGUUUACUUUGAACAAAUUAGAGUGCUUAAAGCAGGCUAAAACUUCGCCUGAAUACUGCGUGCAUGGAAUAAUGGAAUAGGACCUCGGUUCUAUUUUGUUGGUUUUCGGAACCCCGAGGUAAUGAUUAAUAGGAACGGAUGUGGGCAUUCGUAUUGCGACGUUAGAGGUGAAAUUCUUGGAUCGUCGC